rnacentral:sRNA from 1 species
GCUGGGCACAGUGGUGCAUUCCUGUAAUCCCAGCUGCUCAGGAGGCUGAGGCAGGAGGAUCACAAGUUCAAAGCCAGCCUCAGCAACAGUGAGACACUAAGCAACUCAGUGAGACCCUGUCUCUA